rnacentral:rRNA from 1 species
AUACGGAGGGUGCAAGCGUUACUCGGAAUCACUGGGCGUAAAGCGCGCGCAGGCGGGCUGAUAAGUUGGAUGUGAAAGCCUACGGCUCAACCGUAGAACUGCAUCCAAAACUGUCAGUCUAGAGUGUGCGAGAGGAAGAUGGAAUUAGUUGUGUAGGGGUAAAAUCCGUAGAGAUAACUAGGAAUACCAAAAGCGAAGGCAAUCUUCUGGAACACUACUGACGCUGAGGCGCGAAGGCGUGGGGAGCAAACAGGAUUAGAUACCCCGGUAGUCC